GAUGAACGCUAGCGGCAGGCCUAACACAUGCAAGUCGAGGGGUAGAAGGAGCUUGCUCCUUUGAGACCGGCGCACGGGUGCGUAACGCGUAUGCAAUCUACCUUGUACAGGGGAAUAGCCCAGAGAAAUUUGGAUUAAUGCCCCAUAGUAUAUAACCUUCGCAUGUUGGUUAUCUUAAAGUUCCAACGGUACAAGAUGAGCAUGCGUCCCAUUAGUUAGUUGUUAAGGUAACGGCUUACCAAGACGAUGAUGGGUAGGGGUCCUGAGAGGGAGAUCCCCCACACUGGUACUGAGACACGGACCAGACUCCUACGGGAGGCAGCAGUGAGGAAUAUUGAUCAAUGGUCGCAAGACUGAACCAGCCAUGCCGCGUGCAGGAAGACGGUCCUAUGGAUUGUAAACUGCUUUUAUACAGGAAGAAACCCUCCCACGUGUGGGAGCUUGACGGUACUGUAGGAAUAAGGAUCGGCUAACUCCGUG
rnacentral:rRNA from 1 species